GGGGUCCCCAGCUCCCAGGAGGGGGAGGGCUGGGGCACGAAUGCAGCAUCCUGAGCUCAGCGCACUGCUAUUGGCCAGAGAUGAUCUCACCGCCUCCCAGCCUGCGCCCUGAUUGGCCGGUGCAGGGAUGCUGCGCUCCACCGCCGGCGCGGCCGUCAUUCAGGCGGGCUACGGGCGUGUAUGUGUGUGUGAGCCGAGGGGAGCGCAGAGGUGACGCGCCCGGCGUUCCCCAGGGACUCGGGAGGCAAAAGCGCGGAGACCCCUGGUCAGGGUCAAAAUCCCUUCCUACCAGCCCGCGCCCAGCAAGCCCCCUCUAGUUCUUCUAGUCAAGAAACCCCAAGCAAAGCCAUCCCCAGACGAUGCUCCGCAGAGAGGCGGGGACCGGGUCCUCCCCUCCACCCCCUUCCGUUUAACCCUUUCACUGCCACGGCGUCGUCCCGCACUGCCCCGGCAAGCGGGGCUAAGAGACCCGCGCCCUGAACAUGCCCCAGCUCACCUAGAGGGCAGGAAGGCGGCAGGCGCUCUGGUCCCAACCCCGGGCACCCGCAGCAUCCUCUCAGCUUCCUCCCCCCUCACUCAGCUUUCUGACCCCGGCCCAGCGCCCCCGGUACAAUGGGGAGCCAGGCUGCCCGGGUCAGCCGCAGGAGCCGGAGUGCUCGCUGGAGGACUGACGGGACGCCGGGGACCUCAUCUCCCGGUACCCAAAGCCCCAGCUCAGCUCCCUCCUGCUGAAGACAGGACCAGGACGGCAGCCCCCGCAGCCCCGAGUCCCAGGAGUGGCAGCUGGACCCUCACCCCGAGGAGCGUCAGGCGCCCAGAGACAUGGGGAGAGGAUGUUGGUGAAUAUUCCUGGUCAACUGCAAUGGCUUGGAUCCAGUGCUUCCACCUCCAGAAAGCCUUCCUUGAUCGCCCCCUCCCCAGCUCCUUAGCUAAAAGCCAUCCCCUACUUCUAGAGUUCCAAUGGCUUCUUACAUGAGCCUUCUAGUGAUGAUGGGGUACAGCAAUCUGAGCACUUCCCAUGCUGCCUCAUCACUAGACACUUACACAGAACUUUACGGGCAGGUGAUAGAAUGUUCCUGGGGUCUAGAGCCAGGCCAGCCUGCUCUGUUCCAGAACCAGCUCCCCCUGGACUCAUGGAGCCCAUAGCAGCCCUGGGUUGGAGGUGCUGCUAUUACCCCAUUUCACAUAGGUGAACACCGAGGCUCAGAGAGGUGACACCCCCCCCCCAAAGUCAUGUGGCACAUAAGUGGCAGAUCUAGGACAAAAAUUAGGACCUGCUGAAUUACAAAACCCAAGCCUAAACCAUUGUGUGAUUCUGCCCUAGUCCCCACAUGGACCGGGAGCCCUUUGAACACAGGGCCUGGUGGCUCCUCGCCCUCUGCUGUAUGUUCCAUACUCAGCAGAAGGCCUAGCUCAGGGCGGGCGCUCCUGGAGGUGGACAGCCAAGGGCUUGGUCCAUGGUCUUGGCAUCAAGUAAACUUGGACUGCCCCCAGCUCCCCCCAUAGUAGCUGAGUGGCUGUGAGCAAGUCACUGCACUUCUCUGGGCCUCAAGUUUCCCAUCUGUAAGUGGGCACAGGAAGGCCUUCACUGCCCAGUGAUGAGGGAAGAAGUCAAAGACCUCAUUCGUGUAAAGAGGUGCCAGCAGCCAGCACAGGGCUCUGCACACAGUAGGCACCCACAAUGUUAUGUCGUAUUAUUGUUAUCAUUAUUUCAAAUCUACAUUUUCAACAUUCCCAGAGCCCAGGAUAGACUAAGCUUGUGAUAAAGGUGAGCUGUGCCCACUAUCGGUGAUGAAGAACUGAGUCAUCCUUUCUUGCUCCCACCUCCCAGCACCAGCACAUGCUCGGAGACUCGGUGGGAUUAAAGCGCCAUGGUCUCUGCAUAGAGACACCCUUCAGGCCCUGUCCAGCUGGAAGGGGGGGUGGGGUCUGCUGGUAACAAGCCUUGGGAUGUCCUGAGAGUGGGGCCAGGAGAGAAUGACGUGGGAAGAUGAUGCUGGGAAUGAAACCGGACCCCAAGCGCUGCCCUAACCCCUAGACCCUCUUCUCCUGGGGACCGACAGUGAGACCUGGCUCCUAACAAGGCUCAGAAAGGGAUUCUGCCCUUCAUGGAACAAGCCCCGGGCCCUCCAGCGUUCCCUGCGAAGCCCUUCUUACCUUCACGUAGUCCCCGCCCGCCUCCGGCUCUCCAGCAGCUCUGGAAGGAGAGAAGAGAGUGACAGCCUCUGCCUCUUCGGGAUGUUGUGAAGACUCAAGAAGCUGAUGAAUGACCUGUGCUUAACACGGGGCCUGCUUCCUGACGCCGUCUUCCCUCAGCCGCGGGACACCGCCCUCGCCUGGUGCUCUCUCCCUACCCCGUCCUUACUUGAGCAGAGGCCCCAGGCUCUCCUGCCCUACACUCACUCCCUCGGGCAGAGUGACCCAGUCAGCAGCUGCCUAGCACACUGUGGUGCCACUGCUGGUGACAAGUUGGCUGAGGGAUUGAUCCCCUCUGCCUUUGGGGUAGCUGGCAUGGAGCCUGAAGAAGUCAGAGGCCAGGGUGGCUGUUUUUCCCUGGUGCCAAGCAAAUAGCAUCCUUCCUCGUAAAGGCCACCAUGAGUCAUUUCCCCCAGUUCUUGGCCUUAAAUGCCAUUCUACCUCUGAUGCAUCCUGGACCUCCCGCUUCAAUACCAGACUCACAAACCCAGCUGCCUCCUUGCCAUCUCCUCUUGGAUGUCUGAGGUCAUCUUGAACUUGUCAUAGCCAAAGCAGGACUGUUGGACCUCCCCUACCAUGCCCCUGCUCCCCACACCCACUUCCCAUCUCAGUUAAUGUCCGUUUCAUCCUUCUUGUUGCUUUGUUUGGCCAAGAAUCUGUGGUCAUCUGUGCCUCCUCUCUCACACUCCACACCCAAUCCAUCAGGAAAUCCUGCGGCUCUACUUUCAAAAUAGGUCCUGACCACUUCUCGCCAUGUGUCCACUCUGCCCCACGUGGGCCACCCUCUGUGGCCUCCUAGAGCUCCCAGCAGCCCUGUCACUGGCUCAUUCCCACACCCCUUGGUCAGCUUCUGCUCCACCACCAGACGGCACUAAGGUGAAGACCUAAGCAGAUCAGGCACACACUCCCCUCCCUGCAACCCUCCCAUCUCUCAAGGAACAAAAUCUAAACCCUUCUCCACGGCCUGCAGGCGGCUGGCCGUGCCAUUUAGCAUCCAAACCAGAAUGCUUCUUCCCUUGUGGGAGUAAAGAGGGAGCCAUUAUUGUGCCAGCAAAACAGGCAUAAACUGGGUCAUAUAUUCCCCAACUUAUAGGGCCCUGUGUGGCCUGGUGGUGCCCAACUGCCCACCUCGCCAACCCUCCCAUUUGCCUCUCUCACUCAUUCUGACCCUCAUUCUGCCUCCUUGGCCUCCUUGCCCAACCCAUUCUUGCCACAGGCCCUUUGCACUUGCUAUUCCUUCUGCCCUCCUUUUCCCCACAGCAUCAAUCCCCGCCCGCCCAAGACAAUCACUACUCAUGUAUCUGUUGACUGAUAAUUACCUCACGUCUCCACAAGGACACUGACUUUGUCUUAUUCAUUGUUGAAACCCCAGCCCCCAGCACAGUGCCUGGCACCUCAUAGGAGCUCAAGGAAUAAGGAAUGCAUGAAUAGCAAACACUCAACCACUAUUAAUGAUAGUUAAUCACUAUCAUUAUUAUUCAUUCUGUCUGGCUGGGCCCUGGUUCUCUGGUUGGGACAGACCUCAGUAUUCCCAUCUGCAAAAUGGGGAGGAAGGUCGAACAUCGGGGAACUGCUUCCUCUCAUACAGGAAUGCAAUAUUUAAAUUCAGAUUUAAUAAAUUUAAUAAAAUCAAUUUUUUAAAAUGCUGAGCCAAAAAAAAAAUUAUUGUGGUUAAAGUGUAUAUUCCCAGGGCAAAAUUUCAUACUGGGUGUCCCCAGCUCCUGAGGCCAGGGGCUCCUCAUUGCAAAGCAGUCUGACAGCCCCCGCUGUUGUGACAUUCUAGAGUCCCCGUUGCUAACCUUCCCUCCUUCAAAGUCCUUCCUGACCUCUAACUAUAGUCCCUCAAGCUGCAGCUCGGCCACAGCAGGCUCCCCAAGCCACUCGGGUUCUCUCUGUCCAGCAGUGAUAGUGAGGUGGGGUAGGGACCCCUGCCCUGCUCACCGGCCCUGCUCUUCCUGGGUGAGGUGUCCCAUCCCAGCAUUUCCGGCCAUUCAGGCCCGGAAAUCCUUCCACUGCUGGGAACAGAUUGGCCAGGACACUGGGAUCGUCCCAGCACUUCCUCCUGCUUCCUGUCCACUUCCCUUCAGGCUCUGGGCAGGAGCAGAGCCUUGGGGAGGGGGGUGGCUGCACCAGGGAUCAGGUGGGGUGGGGUGGCCAGGGCCAAUGGGGGUGCUCAGGGCAGAGGCCUAGAAAGCUGAGGGCUGGGGCAGCCCCCAUCGCCUGCCCCUCUACAACACUCUAGGAUUUCCAAGACAUAAGGUGACCGUGUCUGCUUACACCCACUGCCAUCACAUGCCCAGACUAUCGCCAUCACCUCGUCACUGGCCUCCAUCUGUGCCCCUGUGACUUAUUCUUUACCUCAGCAGCCCAAGCAGUCCUAUUAAAAUGAAAGUUAGAUCAUGGCUUUUUUUCUGCUCCAACCCAAUAGAGUAGUCCCAUUUCACUCAGAGUGAGAACAAAGUCCUCCUCAUAACAGCUUUCACAGCCUUACCACCUCUCCCACGCCAUGUCUGACUGCGCUGCUCCAGCCAAGCUGGGCUUCUUGCUGGCUUUUGUCCUCACCUCAGGGCCUUUGCACUUUCUGUUCCCUCUGCUGGAAUACUUUUCCUCCAGACAUCCAUUGAGCUCCCUCCCUUCCCUUCUUUAGGUCGUUAUGAAAAUGUUCCCUUCUCAGUGAGGACGUCCCUAGCUACCCUCCUAAAAGUGUGAUCUUCUCAAGGCUCCCCACCUCCUUUCCCUGAUUAGUUUUUCUCCAUAGCACUUCUUCUGACUUACCAUGUAUCCUAUCUCAAGCACUGACAGUCUCUUCUCACUAGAACGUCAGCUCCACAGGGGCAGGUGGUAGGGCAGGGUAGGGGCUAAAAGGGGACUGGGAUCUGCCUAGAGCAGUGCCAGGUACCCCAUAAAGAUUUUGUUGAACGAAUGUCACAGCAGCUCCUGCAACCCUGAGGAUAAAGUCUUCUCCUCAUGGUGGCUCAGCCCUCUGUGACCAGGCCUCUGCUAGCCACCCCUCUUCUCUCUUAACUCUUUCUUGCACUCUGGCCACUUCACACUUCCUCCAAGGAGUGCAGCUCCCUCCAACCUCAGGGCCUUUGCACAUGUUGUUCCCUCUACCUAGAACCUCCUCUUUCCCUUAGGGUCAUACUAAUUCCAACUUAGACUUCAAAUCUCAGUUUGCUUGGAGGUUUCUAGAACAUUCUCUCUCCUGUUGUAGUGAUCAAAUCCAGGAAUCAAAGCUUCUAUUUCUAAAAACUCAGUUCCAUUCAUUUAUCAACUUAUUCCUUAUUUUAUGGGCUUAAAAGGGCACAUCCCCUCUAAUGUUAGUGGUGAAAUCAAUUAAUAAAUAAUAGUGACAAUUCUGCUAAACCAGACACAUUAAUCAGCCACAUUAAUUAUUUAAUAACCAACCCCUUUAAUUGCCUGUAUUAACUGAUUUGUUCUGAUAACUGAUACCACUUAUUGCAUAUAUUAGCUUAAUUAAUUGGAUUAAUGAGCAGUAAUUAGAGCCCAUUAUCUUUUAUUUC